rnacentral:rRNA from 1 species
UACAGAGGUCUCAAGCGUUGUUCGGAUUCAUUGGGCGUAAAGGGUGCGUAGGCGGCGCGGUAAGUCGGGUGUGAAAUCUUGGAGCUUAACUCCGAAACUGCAUUCGAUACUGCCGUGCUUGAGGACUGGAGAGGAGACUGGAAUUUACGGUGUAGCGGUGAAAUGCGUAGAUAUCGGGAAGAACACCCGUGGCGAAGGCGGUUCGCUGGGACGGUACUGACGCUGAGACGCGAAAGCGUGGGGAGCGAACAGG